rnacentral:rRNA from 1 species
GACGAACGCUGGCGGCGUGCUUAACACAUGCAAGUCGAACGGAAAGGCCCCUUUGGGGGUACUCGAGUGGCGAACGGGUGAGUAACACGUGAGUAACCUGCCCUUGACUUCGGGAUAACUUCAGGAAACUGGGGCUAAUACCGGAUAGGAAUCCUUGCUGCAUGGUGGGGGUUGGAAAGCUUCGGCGGUUUUGGAUGGACUCGCGGCUUAUCAGCUUGUUGGUGGGGUAGUGGCUUACCAAGGCUUUGACGGGUAGCCGGCCUGAGAGGGCGACCGGCCACAUUGGGACUGAGAUACGGCCCAGACUCCUACGGGAGGCAGCAGUGGGGAAUAUUGCACAAUGGGCGGAAGCCUGAUGCAGCAACGCCGCGUGCGGGAUGACGGCCUUCGGGUUGUAAACCGCUUUCAGCAGGGGCGAAGCUUGUGGUGACGGCACCUGCAGAAGAAGCACCGGCUAACUACGU